rnacentral:lncRNA from 1 species
GCAUGAGCCACCGCCCCUGGUAUUCUCAAUUUUUUUAAAUAAGAGAUUUAUAUUGCUUGACAUUUUGCAUAUAAAGUGAGACUCUUUUAAAAAUAUACAUCAUGCUAUUUCAACAAGCUGGUGCUCCCGGGGAUGUCCAUGGGCUGUCCAACUGCCCCCGGGGCACCAGCUUCUGUUUUUUAUGCUGACUUUGGGCACUGAACUCUCCUUGGCUCCCAGAGGUCCUGACCAGGCUGGUCCUGCCAUCCACAGCGGUGCCUCUGCUAGCGACAUCCCUGCCCAAUUUUCCAUGUCCAGCUUUGACACCUCCACAGAAAGGCUGAGCCACCACCGGGCCCCCAUUGUGGCUGAGCAUCCACUCUCUCUUCCCCAUGUGCUCCUUGCCCCCGACUCCCCAUCUCUGGAACCCAAGUUUGGGCUGCAUGGACCACCUUCUGGGCCAGGCUGUUAGGAGGCCACCACCAAGCAGCAAACGCAGGAGCAGCCGUGCCCUGAGGAGGCACCACCAGCAGCCUCCAGCAGCACUCGGUGAGGCGGGCAACGAUCCAUCUGUGCCGCCAGCAUGGAGCCGGAAGCCACGGCUGACUUGUGCAGUAGAGGAAACAGGAUCUUGCUCUAUCACCCAGUCUGGAGUGCAGUGAUGCAAUCACGGCUCAGCUCACUGCAGCCUCGACCUCCCAGGCUCAAGCCAUCCUCCCACCUCAGCCUCG